rnacentral:rRNA from 1 species
UGGGGAAUAUUGCACAAUGGGCGCAAGCCUGAUGCAGCCAUGCCGCGUGUGUGAAGAAGGCCUUCGGGUUGUAAAGCACUUUCAGCGGGGAGGAAGGCGAUAAGGUUAAUAACCUUGUCGAUUGACGUUACCCGCAGAAGGAGCACCGGCUAACUCCGUGCCAGCAGCCGCGGUAAUACGGAGGGUGCAAGCGUUAAUCGGAAUUACUGGGCGUAAAGCGCACGCAGGCGGUCUGUCAAGUCGGAUGUGAAAUCCCCGGGCUCAACCUGGGAACUGCAUUCGAAACUGGCAGGCUAGAGUCUUGUAGAGGGGGGUAGAAUUCCAGGUGUAGCGGUGAAAUGCGUAGAGAUCUGGAGGAAUACCGGUGGCGAAGGCGGCCCCCUGGACAAAGACUGACGCUCAGGUGCGAAAGCGUGGGGAGCAAACAGG